rnacentral:ncRNA from 1 species
AGGCAAACUUAUCGAAAGGUAAGGACGCAAAGCCAUGGGUCUACAGACUACCGUCUAUGACUGCCAGGUUGCCAC